rnacentral:misc_RNA from 1 species
UUAAUAAUUGCAAAUAAAUCAGACAAUAAAUUGUAAGAAUUUUAAGAUCCUCUGGCAGGCACUGACCAGCAAACCAGCCGGCGGUCCAGAGACGGGCCUGCCAAAGCAACAAGGUAUUGUAAACAAAGGGUGGGAGAUAUACCCCAAGGGGCAUGUUCUCUGUAAUGAUCCUUCCGCAGGUUCACCUACGGAAA